UCUCAGUGCAUUGUUCUGCUCAGAAACAUUAUUGUCUGCGUUUUUGUUUUUCUUCUUUCCAGAGCUCUGUGGAGAAAGUGGUGGCUGGCUCUGUCUCCGUUCCUCAGGUGGUCCCAUUUGGAAUCCCUCUUCCAGGGAAGGCUAACCAUGAAGGAGAUACAAAUGCUCUUGUAGAAAUGAAAUCAGGUCUGAGUAAGAGCUCUGAAUCCAGAUGGCACCAUAUCUUGAAUGCAGACAUCUGCUGCCAGUGACUACACCCGCUUGCAUUGGAUGGGAGUCACCAAUAGCUCCACAGAUGCAGCCCCAAACCAACAUCUGCAUAAAGGUCUUGUCUCUCCUCACUGCAGAGCAUGAGAGACUGAAUCAGCCUUGCUCAGGGUAAGUGCUAAUCAGAAACCACUAUACAAUCGGUGUGUUACCAGCGUUAUCCUCAGACUAAAGCCCG